rnacentral:rRNA from 1 species
GCUAGCGUUGUUCGGAAUUACUGGGCGUAAAGCGCACGUAGGCGGAUGUUUAAGUCAGGGGUGAAAUCCCGAGGCUCAACCUCGGAACUGCCUUUGAUACUGAGGAUCUUGAGUUCGGGAGAGGUGAGUGGAACUGCGAGUGUAGAGGUGAAAUUCGUAGAUAUUCGCAAGAACACCAGUGGCGAAGGCGGCUCACUGGCCCGAUACUGACGCUGAGGCACGAAAGCGUGGGGAGCAAACAGG